GGUUGACGAGGAGAAGGAAUAGGAAAGAAAGAAUAGGAGAGCGCAAGGAUCGGUGUGUUGGUAAGAAGGGGACGCAGGAGAGGGAGGGCACCAGAUGGAGGUUUAUUUGUCGAGCGGCCGCCACCUUCUCCACACACCGCUCGCUCGCUGGGGCCUCCUCGUGUUUGCUUCUACGUCUCCACGCAUCUUCUGCUGACAGCCGCUCGCCUCCACACCACGAAGGUCGAUGUUGCCGUCGGACACCUACGACCGUUCUCACUGGUCGUUUAACUCCCGCUCUAUGCUGCGCUCGAGCUGCUGCCCCGCGACGCCGGUAGAGGUGGUCCCAACGGUACCGGCCAUUCGUGCCAGCGGGUUCCUACGCCGCCGCUCGUACCCAACGGCCACUUGUGCUACGGCUCUUGCUCGCACCCCGCCGGUUACUACGCAGCCGUUCUCGUACAACGGCCGCUCGUACUCCGGCACCUGCUCGCGCCCGCCGGGUUCCUACGAAGCCGCUCUCGCCCAACGGCCGUUCGUACUCCGGCUCCUACUCGCGUCCGCCGCGUUCACCUUCCGCUCGUGCCACGAUCUUUUUCGACGUGCUCUGCCACUUUAUGUCCCUGGACGCACUCCCGCUCUACGCAGUCCUCCUUCUAUUACAGGCCUUCUUAGCAAAGGAAAAAGAUAUAUAGGUUGCCGGUCCCGAUCACCGUAGACCGCCGAUCCCACGCUGGCCGGCUUUGAAAGCCGGCCGCGUGGCCGCGGGUCAUAACGGGUUUAUUUUUCCAUGGUUCGCGUAGGCACUUCAAAGACGUAUGUGACUUUUGCUUUUUCCAAACGCAGGAGCCUCGUUGUGGUUAGUCUGAAGUUAGUCCUGUACCAAGAUGUGAUGUCUGGUGUCUGAUGUCUGGACUGUUUUGACAUAGGCAGUACUGCUGCGCGCCGAGGCACAGCUGUGUUAUGGUAGUUGGCUUCGUAGUUACGAUGUCGUCGUACGUACGAUAGGAAUGCGGCGCUUUUUCUUCUGCCUAAGAAGGCACGCACCGUGUUCGAAGUAGGGACCUAGUACCUUAGUCUACGGCUCGAGUCGAGUUUCGCCCUCCUUUUCCGUUUCAAAUGCCUUAGACUACAAGUGGCGGCGUAAAAGAGCCGGCGACAAUUACAAUAGGGCUACGGUAGAAGAAACGGUUGUAAUAGUAGAACCUGUCGAGAGAGUACGGCUGGUCGCGUGCUCCGUCCUGGCAUCCGCGGUUUUCCAGUAGUUUAAGGCACAGGUGAGGAAAUGGUGCUUUGGCACUACGAAGAUCGGUAGGACGUCGAUAUAUAUACGGUGGCGGCCGAACUUGACGACAACGUAACGUGGGUUGCUUUUCAAGUCUGAAAUCUCUUUGGUUGCUCUUCAAGUCUGAAGUCUCUUUGGUUGGUCGGUACCCCCGCCGCGGCAGCUCUGUCCUCCGCAGGUGGCGGAGCAGCGGGUGGCCGCUACCGGCACAGCGCGGCUGCCGCGAGUCGCGAAGAUGAUGAAGACUGUGGCGGUUGGUCCGCGUCAGGUUCUCCCGCGGCCGAGGAGUGUACAAGGCCCUCUAGCAGCGGCCCCUCUUACAGCGGCUGCAUCGGCGCGACCUUCUAGUCCAGACGUUCCCCUAGAAGAACCGGCCCUUUUGUUUCUUCAUGACCCACCUACUUUUUUGGUCCGUGUUGACGAAGUACGACAAGGGGUCUCCGGAUGUGUAGUGGACCUCGCUUCUGGGGUUCAUGACCUGAACCGUGGGGGACGCUCUUCCUUCGCUGCGGCUUCGGCCUUAGCUCUGCCACCGCGACGUCUUGCAGACGACCGACCUCCAGGUUCCCUUCGACCUCGACAGGGUAGAGUGUGGUCCUCGGUGGAUACUCCAAAAGAAGCUCCACUCCGAGCUGCUGGGCCGAAUGCCUACCAGCUACGGCCACUUGGAGGCCGAGUUCAAGGGACUACCGUGCUAGGUCGUCGUGUUCCUCUUGGACCUCCUCUUCGGGUCCCCCUUCACCGACGACCAGUUCCAACCCCUCCAAUUCGGUGUGUUCCCCGUCUUACCUCUCCGACUCUAGAGGUACAAACUCAUACUACCACCCGUCACCUUCUCCCCCGAGGAGUAGUUCCCGUAGUUCUAGUAGGGUUUUCUUACUUACUAGACUAACACGAAACAAUGCUUGUUAGCGACCGACAACAAACAGCCGAUGCGAUUCUAGUCAAACUACGUACCCUUAUUAUAGUUCUCAAAACUUACUUAGACUCUAGUGAAAGGAACCAA
rnacentral:rRNA from 1 species